rnacentral:rRNA from 1 species
UACGUAGGGUGCAAGCGUUAAUCGGAAUUACUGGGCGUAAAGCGUGCGUAGGUGGUGAGUUAAGUCUGUCGUGAAAGCCCCGGGCUCAACCUGGGAAUGGCGAUGGAUACUGGCUCGCUAGAGUGCGGUAGAGGAGAGUGGAAUUCCCGGUGUAGCAGUGAAAUGCGUAGAUAUCAGGAGGAACACCGGUGGCGAAGGCGCUCAUCUGGCCCAAUACUGACGCUGAGGCGCGAAAGCUAGGGGAGCAAACGGG